AGAAUCAACGCUGGCGGCGUGCCUAACACAUGCAAGUCGAACGAGAAAGUGGAGCAAUCCAUGAGUAAAGUGGCGACCGGGUGAGUAACACGUGACUAACCUACCCUCGAGUGGGGAAUAACUCCGGGAAACCGGGGCUAAUACCGCAUAACAUCUUCGGAACGCGAGUUCUGUUGAUCAAAGGAGCAAUUCGCUUGAGGAGGGAGUCGCGGCUGAUUAGCUAGUUGGCGGGGUAAUGGCCCACCAAGGCUUAGAUCGGUAGCCGGCCUGAGAGGGCGCACGGCCACACUGGAACUGAAACACGGUCCAGACUCCUACGGAGGCAGCAGUGGGGAAUUUUGCGCAAUGGGGGAAACCCUGACGCAGCAACGCCGCGUGGAGGAUGAAGUCCCUUGGGAUGUAAACUCCUUUCGACCGGGAAGAUACUGACGGUACCGGUGGAAGAAGCACCGGCUAACUCUGUGCCAGCAGCCGC
rnacentral:rRNA from 1 species